rnacentral:lncRNA from 1 species
GUCUUUUGGCGCAUAUAAUUUCAUUUACACCCCCUGGUCUUUUAUAAAUUUAUCAUACGGGCCCUCAACUUUGGUAAUGACAUGUUUAUGUACGUGGGUCAAAAUAUAAUACGUUUUUGUGCUUAUUUUUAUGUACGUUUUCGGUUAGUCUACGUUUUGUUCGGAAACGAAUUGGGUCAAUGUACGUUUUCGGUUAGUCUACGUUUUGACAUAAAUUUUGUUUGGAAACGAAUUGGGUCAAAUAUAAUACGUUUUCACUAGACGGUAUAAAUUCGACUUACUUUACGUUUCGACACCGCUGCAACGCUCGGUACCGUUCUUUAACUUAAAAAACACUAACGUUUCGGUAUAAAUGCAAGUUGGUUUACGUUUCGACAUAAAUUUUUCUCGGUAAUGAGUCAAGUCAAAUAUAAUAUGUUUUCGUGAUUAUUAUUAUGUGCAUUUCAGUUGGUCUAUGUUUUGACGUAAAUUUUUUUCGGAAACGAAUCGAAUCAAAUAUUUGACGGUAUAAAUCGAGUUAAUUUAAGUUUCAAUACCACCACAACGCGCGGCGGAUCAAAAUACUAGUUAAGAAUAAAGAUGAACUAGCUAUAAUCUUGAAACUUAACUAAAUUGGAAGUUAUUGAGCUGAGCUGUUAAAAAACUAAAACGGAAAUUAUAUUAUAACUAUAAAUAACAAUAAACUAGCAAUAAUCUUGAAAUUAAACUAAAAUGGAAGUUAUAAUUAAGGAGUAUACCGGACUAGAGGCGAUAAGACCGUCAUCAGAAAGUCUACCAUAAGCCCUCAGACCAUAGAAAGAUAUGUAAUCAUGAACUCUCGAAUCAAGAAGAUCAGAUAGAUUGUGUAAUAUAGAACUGUUUCCUCUUGAUAUUGUUCGAUACUGCCAAUGCAUUAUGGCUCUUACAGAUGCAGCCCCCACAUCAUCUAAACCACCCUGCGAAACUUCAAAACAUGAAAACCAAAAAUACAGAGCUGCACGAGCAAAUUUUACUAUAAAAAAACGAGUCAACUCGCCUGGAAGCCAGGUAAGAGUGGUAUAACAACAAUGACCCUGAAAUGUUGUUUUUCAUGAUAUGCCCUGAUGAUACGUCUGUACAAGGAUUCCAAAACACGAUUUCGUAUGAUCUCAUCUCCAGAAAGACCCGAGAUGAAGAAUUGGUUCUGGAAACAAAAUUGUUUUUGAUAAAUCAGCAAACGUAUAUAAAAAUUAACUUAUGCAAAAAAAUUGGUGAUCUUGAAGACGAAUGAGUUUAUGAUGUACCUCAAUGUACACAAAGUGUUCAGCUUUCUCAAUAAGGGAACAAUAAGAAUUGUGAAUGCUCUCUUCAACUUGACUUGUCCCAGCUGACCAUUGACUGACACUCCUUACAACCUAAAAUGGAAAAAAAAAAUCUGAUUUUAAAUUAAAAAAAAACUAACUAAAACUUUUGUUUCUAAAGAGAACAAAUUAACAUUCACUAUUUCCAGAAAAUGAUACAUAGGCACUUAAAAGACAGCAUGUAGCAAAUUCAGCACACGAUAUGUUUCUAAAGAAUCUAGGCAAUAAACAAAUUAUCUAUAUAUAUUAAUUUACAACAUUGCAAGGAAUAGUAGCUAUUCUGUUCUUUAGUCUAUUUCUUUUUUUAGUGUAAAUUUACAUUUUCACCCCUGUAGUUUAAUCAUUCUACUUUUUUUUUCAUUUUCUUUAACCAAUUUACUAUUCUAUCCCUUAACUUUAAUAAAGUUAUCAUACAUCCCCUAAACUUCAAUAUAGUUGUCGGUAUUACGUCACGUGAGUCACUUGUUAGAAAUUCGUGUUUUAGUUUUACAUUGUUUCCCGCUUUUGGUCGUCGUUCGGUUAGCACCGUUUUACAACGCUAGCACCUCGGUAUUACGUCACGUGAGUCACUUGGUAUUAGUACCUCCUAAAGCGUUGUAAUAUGAAUACUUGGAUUAUGAUUGCAAUAUAUUGUUUUUGUAAAUUGUAAUCAUAAUUAUGCAUUAAUUCUUUAUUAAGUUUUAAAAAGGGUUUUGCAAGUCAACCCGAACCCGCCUGAUUCAAUACGUACUAAAGGAUGACCCCUUUUCAACCUAGCUCAUUUUGACAUGUUACCCAACCGGCUGAUCCGCCCAUUUUUUUUCCUCCUUUAAUUGCAACUUAUUAUAUAAAGAAGCAUGUGCAUUGUCCAAUUUGGUGACCUUAAGGACGCAACAAUAAUCUUGCAAAUAUUAAAAAAAUAGAAUAUAAGCUAACCUGACAACGACAAGCAACACAAGGACCAACUUGUCCUGUUUCAUCUGCAGAAACAACCAGGUUACCUCGCUCCUGAUUCUCCCACCAUUCUUUGUCAAUAGGUUUCACACCAGUGAACGAUUCUUGCUCAAGAUUUACAGCAUGUCGUUCAUCCACGAAAUCUCUCAUCGGCAUAUCUGGAACCAAAGGUUCAACUUUGGAUUUCCUGAAAGAAAAAGAAGUCCUAGAAGUCCUACUUGGUUGACCAUGAUAAUCGUUUGACCCGUUAGUAUUCAAUUGUCCAUUAGAAGCAUCCACUCCAUCAGCUUCUUGCGGGAUUAGCAAUGGGAUGUCUUCAGAAGAUGCAGAGGAAGAAGAAUUUCUUCUGUUGAUUACUAUAUGAGCGUCGUCCAUAACUGUUGAAUUUUCAUCCUCUACUAUAUUGUUGCCCAUGUAAUGUGGGAUAACCAUGUGUUGUUGAGGCAUAAGUAGCGGAAUACCUUGUUCGUUCGGAGCUUUGUUUCUCUGAAAAAGAAUAUAAAUAUUAGAUUUCGAGUAAAAUGUCAUUUUCGUCCCUGAGUGAGAUCCGGUUGCUCCGCCGGAGAUUAACUGUUCCGAUGCCAUAUUAUCACUCAACUCCGAUCAAAUCGAAAUAAAUCUAGCAAAAU